GACGAACGCUGGCGGCGUGCUUAACACAUGCAAGUCGAACGAAGUGGCGAACGGGUGAGUAACGCGUAAUCAACCUGCCCUUCAGAGGGGGACAACAGUUGGAAACGACUGCUAAUACCGCAUACUGUAUGAGGGGCUUGCGUCUGAUUAGCUAGUUGGAGGGGUAACGGCCCACCAAGGCGAUGUUCAGUAGCCGGUCUGAGGGGAUGAAAGGACACAUUUGGACUGAGACACGGCCCAGACUCCGACGGGAGGCAGCAGUGGGGAAUCUUCCGCAAUGGACGAAAGUCUGGCGGAGCAACGCCGCGUUAGUGAUGACGGCCUUCGGGUUGUAAAGCUCUGUUAAUCGGGACGCGGUACCGGAAUAGAAAGCCACGGCUAACUACGUGCCAGCAGCCGCGGUAAUUC
rnacentral:rRNA from 1 species